UACGGAGGGAGCCAGCGUUGUUCGGAAUUACUGGGCGUAAAGCGCACGUAGGCGGCUCUUUAAGUCAGGGGUGAAAUCCCGGGGCUCAACCCCGGAAGUGCCCUUGAAACUGGGGGUCUAGAAUCUGGAAGAGGUGAGUGGAAUUCCUAGUGUAGAGGUGAAAUUCGUAGAUAUUCGGAAGAACACCAGUGGCGAAGGCGGCUCACUGGACCGGUAUUGACGCUGAGUCGCGAAAGCGUGAGGAGCAAACAGG
rnacentral:rRNA from 1 species